GUUUGGGUAGAAUCUCAACUCAAAUUUGUAACGUCGUGGUAUUGAAGUUAAAUUUUGUUUUGAAAAGCGAAUGAAAAAAAUUUAAUUCAAUAUGCAUAUUAUAAUGCACUGAUUGUGGGGUACAUUUUUUUCUGUACUCUGUAAAUUUUUGUGGAAAACGCACAAAGAAUGAAGAGAUGAAAUCGAUUGGAGCUUCACAAUGUAUACCCCUUAACGCUGCUCGGUUUGAAAGAACAUCCCGUUAAAGUCAUCUAUAACCACGAUAUGCCGCUUAGUACAUCACCCAUCUCUUCAAGUCCAUUUUGAAAAUUCACCGACUGCUCAUUAAGUGGGCGAUAGCUGCAAGCCGCUUAACGCUGCUCGGUUUGUAAGAACAUCCCGUUGAAACCAUCUAUAAUUACGAUAUGCCGCAUAGUACAUCUCCCAUCUCUUCAAGUCCA